rnacentral:tRNA from 13 species
CGCCCAACGUGGGACUCGAACCCACGAGCCCGCGAUUAAGAGUCUCGUGCUGUACCGACUGAGCUAGCCGGAC